GAUACGUGAACUACCGAAAACCAUUGGUCUGAUAGAUCGCUUGCAACGUUUCAAUAUCAGUGGCAACGAACUGACGGAGCUGCCACCGGAAAAGACAGUCAACUGGUCAGCAUGUCAACAUAUUUCAAUCAUGCCUCACGCAGCUUGAUUGACGAACUGCGACGCAUAGCAUCGGAACUCAUGGUACCCGGUCACGGUGUAGUCGUCACGGACGAGACGCCCACACAGUUGGAGAAUCUAAUGGAAAUGUUUGGCAUAAAUUCCUGCAAAGAAAACCGGAUUUUAUAUCGGAACCUACUUUUCUCGGUAAAGGACACUUUAGACAAAUAUGUCUCCGGCGUUGUGAUACAUCCAGAGGUAUUGGACCAAACAACAGUCAACGGCUGCGCGCUACACUGUCAAUUGAGGCGUAAAAACAUUUUGGUUGGAGUUACAGUGGAUAGAGGACUCGUGCCGGUGUUGUGCUCUAAUGGUGAGUUCGUCACUCAAGGCCUCGACGGCUUGACUAAACGAUGUGCCGAGUAUAAGGAUUGCGGUUGUGAUUUCACCAUGUGGCGUGCACAGUAUAAUAUCGGCGAGUACACGCCUUCCUACCAGAUUAUCAUGGAGAAUGCCAAUACAAUGGCCAAAUAUGCAGCCAUUGCGCAAUCCAAGCGGAUGCUGCCGAUAUUAGAAGUCGACAUAGUGCCAACGGAAGAUAAUGACUUGGAACGCGCUGAGAAGGUGGCUGAAACCAUUCUGAUGUUCAUUUAUAAAUCACUUGGCGAUCAUCAUGUCAACGUGGAGGGCACACUACUAAGGGUGCCUAUGUUGGCGCCAGGACCGAAGUGCGAGAAACGAUACUCGCCGGGUCAAAUUUCCAAAACCACAUUACGAUUGCUGCGACAUGUAGUGCCAGCUGGCGUAGGUGGUAUAAUUUUGCAUGUGGACGGUAAGACCGAAGACAGAAGUCUUUGCUUACUGAAUGCUACAGCCACCGAGCCAUCCGCAAAACCGUGGCCCAUUAUAUUCAGCUUCGAUGGUACUUUGCAGUCGUCGAUUAUGAUCGCUUGGGCGGGUCACAAGAAAAAUGUUGAAAAGGCUCAAAAUGAGUUCCUAAAGAUGCUUAGCGCAUUCUCAAAUGCCGCACAGGGUUCAUAUGUUACCGGUUCGAUGAAAUCUCUAGCCGAUCAAUGUUAUUGUAAGAAGGCUUUGAAAGCUUUAAAAACAAAACCUGAACCACUCCCUAACGAUUGUGUAAAAUUUGAGGAAUUAUGUCGACCACCACCGGUUGGGCCCACGACAGCGCAACCCUUCGAAAUAUCCGCUGCUUUUAUGGCUAUAGAGAUAAAAUCGGAAGUUGGUUUUGAAGAAAAGGUGAUAGCGGAUCAGAAGAUCAAAACAAAUGAAGUAGUGGAAAAUCCACCACCGCCAGUUUCUGUGGCUGAAAUUUCCCCGUCCGAAAAUCCUGUUCCUGAAAGUGCUAACGUUAAGAGAGCAUCAAGGGCAUCAUUUUCCAGCGUUACCGGUGAACGUAGAAGGAGCUCAGCGGCAAAGGGAACUUAAUUUUAUUCCGCAAACUAUUUGGGCAUACACAAAUUGGAGCCUUGAAACAGCUGGAAGAGCUCAACAUAUCCAAAAAUCACCUAAAACGCCUGCCAGUACAACUGAGUGAAUGUCAGCGACUGAACGAGCUCAACUUAAGUGAUAAUGCCGACAUUUGGCAUAUACCCGAACGAAUCUCCAAUUUACCAUCGCUGCAAUCGCUUUCAGCAGAUCGCUGCGCACUUUUCUACCUGCCCGUUGCGCUUUCUAAAUUUAUUAAUCAUAUCCGCAUCUUUCACAACACAUCCAUUACACAUGUGCCAAUGAUAUACGAAAAAUUCUUCCAAACCUUCUAUGAUAAUCGUGCGAAAGUAACGCCACUAGCUGUGACGCACCGCAGUUAUUUCUGGGUCCUGGAAAGAGAAACUAAUACUAGACUGCUGCUACCGUUCGGCACACGUCGCAUAUUUCGUGUACCGUCGCUAGAUAACCAAGUCACAUUGUACGACGAUUGCCUGCGCGCGGUGCAAUAUU